AAGGGCACAUGUCAGAAGAUUUGUACAUUUGACACUGGAUGACCUAUUUCAUGUGCGCUUGGCAGUUGAAGACAUCUGUGUUGGUCUCAUGUUCAUAUGUGCCCGCAUUUCUAAGAAAAAUGCAAAUGACCCUCUAGGAACAACGGGGGCAUUACCAUUACACCUGGACGCUCUGCUCUCCCUG